UCCUACGGGGGGCAGCAGUGGGGAAUAUUGCACAAUGGGGGAAACCCUGAUGCAGCGACGCCGCGUGAGUGAAGAAGUAUUUCGGUAUGUAAAGCUCUAUCAGCAGGGAAGAAACCCACCCUUUGGGGUGGCUGACGGUACCUGACUAAGAAGCCCCGGCUAACUACGUGCCAGCAGCCGCGGUAAUACGGAGGAUGCGAGCGUUAUCCGGAUUUAUUGGGUUUAAAGGGUACGCAGGCGGACCAUCAAGUCAGCGGUAAAAUCGUGGGGCCCAACCCCAUCCCGCCGUUGAAACU
rnacentral:rRNA from 1 species